GGUUGGUGGAAGACUGGGAAGGGUAGGGAGGUGCUGCACACUCACCUCCCCUGCUCCCCAGUCAUAAUAAUUCAAGUCAGGUUGGUGGAAGACUGGGAAGGGUAGGGAGGUGCUGCACACUCACCUCCCCUGCUCCCCAGGUUACAUUUGUAACAUUUGUCAGGUUGGUUGUUUUUGGAGUUGCCAGGGUCAGUCAGUCAGUCAGAGCCAGUCAGUCAAGGGAAGUGUACAUUUGGAGUUGGUAGGAUGAGUCAGAUUGGUGGUGGAAGUCGAACUGGGAGACUGGGAAGGGUAGGGAGGUGCUGCACA